rnacentral:tRNA from 1 species
GCCGGCGUGGCGGAACGGCAGACGCGGAGCACUCAAAAUGCUUUGCCCUCAUGGGCGUGUGGGUUCAAAUCCCUCCGCCGGCA